rnacentral:rRNA from 1 species
UUUCGUAGGUGAACCUGCGGAAGGAUCAUUAAU